UACGUAGGGUCCGAGCGUUGUCCGGAAUUAUUGGGCGUAAAGGGCUCGUAGGCGGUCUGUUGCGUCGGGUGUGAAAACUUACAGCUUAACUGUGAGCGUGCUUCCGAUACGGGCAGACUUGAGGUAUUCAGGGGAGAACGGAAUUCCUGGUGUAGCGGUGAAAUGCGCAGAUAUCAGGAGGAACACCGGUGGCGAAGGCGGUUCUCUGGGAAUAUCCUGACGCUGAGGAGCGAAAGUGUGGGGAGCGAACAGG
rnacentral:rRNA from 1 species